GAACAUCCUUGUCCAUGAGAUUUGUGGGCUUUCAGGAAGACUACUGUGGACGUGGAGCACAUUACAUCUCAAGGAAUCGAGGAAUCCAUCAAAAGGCACUCAUUGCUUGCUGCAAUGAUUGUCCUUCUCUGUCCUCCAGGCUCCCAGCACCCACUGUGUGGAAUACAACUACACCAUGGCCAGAUAUCCCAUCUUUCAUAAGAUAACUUUAGAUUUAGAGUUACCAAACACUUGAGGGCACAUACUGGACAAUCCAUAGAGAGUUCUCAGCUGGGGUCCUUCUUGUCAUCAAUAGUGCAUGACAGCUUUUAGCUAAACUUGGAGAAAGUGACAAUGCUGUUUCAUGCCCCACAAAGAAAAAAAACCUUGAUCUCUGGCAUGAAGAGUCCAUUGAAACAAGGUAUUGAGACAUCAGAUAUUUAGGAUGAAGGUUUCGUGAGGAACCAGGUACUUGAGGACAAUGAUAGCUGCCUAAAUCUACCACACCACAAUGCAGAAGACUGCACAAGGGAAGAACCUUGAGAACCACAUAAAACUCAGGCUCUGCUGCAAGCCUUUCUUGCAGGCAAAGGCAGUCUAAUAAACAUUUUUUAAAAAUCUUGCAUAGAAGAGAGAAGAAGGGAGUGAGCAGCAGAUCUAAAAUCUUUCUGAAACCACCACUAGGAUGAUAAAGUUAUCCUAACUGUGAAAAUACGGAAAAAAAGUGCAUUACUGCAUCACAGUGCUGAUUACAGGGAAGAGACUUAUAAUACAUGUGCUUUGAAGUGGCAGUCUUCAAAAGGUACAGCUUCUGAGAGAAAAAGAUGAAAAACUAAGAGGGAGGCACUGCAGUGACUGGGUGGUAAAAAAUAAAAGAAGUGGAAGGAAAAGUUACAGUCUUACAAGGCAAAGGGUAACAUGAAAGUCAGAGGGUACAUAACCACUUCCUGCAUCAACAGAAAUCUCAUCCCUGAAAAAAUGUAGACUGUUGCUAUACAGACAGAGGAGGAUGACAAGCCAUUAAACUAGAAAUCUUGUAAACCACCACUCAUAUGCAAAACGAAUAGUAUUGAGAGGUGAAGCUAGCAGGGCUUCUUGGUCGAGUGUGGACUUGGAGAACUUUUCUGUCUAGCUAGAGGAUUGUAAACGCACCAAUCAGCACUCUGCAUCUAACUAAAGGAUUGUAAAUGCACCAAUCAGCACUCUGUAAAAUGGACCAAUCAGCACUCUGUAAAGUGGAAGAAUCAGUGCUCUGUAAAAUGCACCAAUCAGCAGGAUGUGGGUGGGGCCAAAUAAGGUUAUAAAAGCUGGCCACCGGAGCCUGCAGGAACAACCCAAUUGGGUCCUUUUCCAUCCUGUGGAAGCUUUCUUCUUUCACUCUUCACAAUAAAUCUUGCUGAUGCUCACUCUUUAUGAGCUGUAACACUCACCAGAGGGUCUGUGGCUUCAUUCCUGAAGUCAGUGAGACCACGAACCCACCAACCCACGGGGAGGAACAAACAACUCCAGAUGCACUGCCUUUAAGGGCUGUAACACUCACUGCAAAGGUCUGCGGCUUCACUCCUGAAGUAAAUGAAACCACGAACCCACUGGAAGGAAGAAACUCGGGACACAUCUGAACGUCUGAAGGAACAAACUCCGGGCACACCAUCUUUAAGAACUGUAACAGCUCACCACGAGGGUCCACGGCUUCGUUCUUGAAGUCAGCGAGACCAAGAACCCACCAGAAGGAACCAAUUCUGGACACAGGGUGAAAUGGAAUAAGUCUAUGCAAAGUUACCACAAAGACACAAAAAGUGAGAAUUAACACAUUUCAGCUGGAUGAAACUUCUCACCAGAAACAACCAUGAAGAAAAAUAAACAUGUAAGAAAUGAUUCAAAAUGAGUUAAAUAUACUAAAAUCUCAAAUCUGAAGAGCCACUUUGAAUUAGAAAUCUGAAAACUGAAAGCAAAAAUAGAAAAAGCAGAAAAAAAUGAACAGAGUUGAUUGAACUUAGCAAAGAAAUGAUAAAAAGAAGACAAAAUCAUCUCAGAGUGAAGAAGACCGAAAUGGAAGAUAAUAAAGUGAAUUGACGGAACGCAAGAAAAUAAUCUGCAAAUGAAUAUAAGUUAACAAACAUCACAAAGCACCAGCUCCUUUAAUUGAGAAAAGAAGAAAGCACGAUGUACAAAAUAAUGACAAGGGGGACUAACCACUGAAACGGUAUGCAUCUGAGGAGAUGGCGAAGACAUUUUUAACAUCUUUAUCAGUUUCAUGCUGUACCUGUUAAGAGGUCCUGGCUUCCAGAAGGAAAUUACUUCCACCAGUGGACAUGGUGGAGGAGAGUGGAGGGGAGUAAGAUUAGAAGCAAGGAUACCAGUAGGAUGCAGUUACAGCAAUCCAGGUGGCUGUGCUACAAUUGUAAUAACAUCAGAUCUGUGCUGGUCUAGGCUGACCAUGGUCUGAGCCACCAGCCAAAAGCCACCAGGAUUGUAUCUGAAUUGAAUGAGUUGGAAUUGACCUUUUGUUAAAUGAGCUGAAUCUCCCGAAAAGAAGAAGCCCAUGAUGGAGAACUGUGGAGUACCAGCAUCUCUGUUGGAGAGUGUUAGAAAGGACUUACUACAGGAGCCUGGGCCUCGUGUGAGGAGCAGUGGACAUCUCCGGAGGGAGCCACCUGAACAGAUGCUGGCUGUCUCGUGCCGAGGCCCCGCGCCAGAUCACAGAACUGUGAAGUGAUCCUGGGCAGAGGUGAACAAGAAUGGCUGACGUUGACUUGUGUUUCAUACCAUUUCAGAAAGAUGGGAGCUCAUCAUUGAAAUUAAGUUAAAUUGUAGAAAAUAAGGAAUUUUGGAACUUCUUAGACAAGAUGCAAUAAUUAUACUGUUUCCUGGUGGAGGUCUUGCCCUUCUCCUCCCUUCCUUUAUUUUUAUUGCUGUAGCGUGGAUUUGGACCUAUUUUUCUUUUAGUCUGUGGUCACAGAGGGUUCAGAAGUGUAGCUGUGCUUGUGAAGACACAUGCAUUCCAGACUUCCUAAUUAGAUGCUUUCUUGUCACACUUUAAAACCCCUGCACUAUUGGGAAGUGCCUGCCGAAAGGUCAGCCCAUCACUCCUUGGUUACCUUCCGCAGUGACAUGAUAUUUCUUUCACUGGCAACGAAUGAGAAAGGGGUGGUGCAGUCAGAUAUUAAGGGAACCAGAGCUAUCUUCAAGGAGCAGGAAAAGUCAGCCAUUGGCUGCCGUUAUAGCUUGGGAAAUGACUGGACGAGGAAAGUCUAUUUCAAACAGAUGAUUACAAAACCUCACUAAAGCCAGUGCACGCUGGUGUGCGUCACAAAUUGGCCUAGGAACAGCACUGGGGCAUAUACAUUGUGGAAGUCAAGAAGUGAAGAUUACACGUGAUCUGAUUUCCCAUAAAAAGACUCUCUUAGUUCUACACAUUUAGAACCAAGAUCUGUUUUCCUCACCUGCUCUUUUGCCAGAUGCAAAGACCCCUCGGCCACUCCCCAGCCUCUGUGUGUGUGUGUUUAGCAUUUGUGAACCUCUCUGACCUCUUAUCUUUUCAGGCUAAUGAAUUGAAUACCUCUUUGAGGGCAGGAUAGAGAAGAAGGCUGAAUUGGGGAGCCUUGUAAACUGAAGGGAGACAGCUUGGUCUGGAAGGAAAACGGGUAUUAAAAUGUCAACCAGUAUCCAGUGUCCAAUGGGCAGGGGCUGGGCCUUGCCUGCUUUUGUGUCAUGCAUGGGUAAAGUCGUAUCUAAAUAUUUAAUCUCUUUUGGCUUUUACUCCUUCCCCCUCCAAUCCCACUUCCUUUAAUUUAAUUUUUAUUUAUUUAGUUUUUAGCUUUUAGGAUCCCAGGGUAAAUAAGUUCCAUACCUUGGGAAAUUGCAUAACAGAAAGAACACACUUAGCGUGAUCACUGUUUCAUUGUGUUCAGUUGUAUUUAGGACCAAGACAUCUGACAGCAUCACUGGGCCUUCUUUCAGAGAACAAUUGGCACACUUGAAUGCAACGGAGUGGAUAGGUGACAGCUCCUUCCCACGGCAGCUGUGGCAGCUCCAGCUUUCUGUCUAAUCAAAUUAGUUCCUCUCUGCACUCAAACAAGUCAGAAGCAAUCAUCUCCGAAUCCACGCGCAGUGAGCAAAUGCAAACACUGUCAUGGUGUGACGCUAGUAGGACAAGAGGUGAAGGCUGCUAAUAAAUACAGACAUACCAUGUGGCUAUAAUAAGCCACUUAGAAAAAUAGUGGAUAUAGAUUUUCUGUCUUUUACUUAAUCUAUUUUCUUUCCCACAAGGGAGAGACCAGGCAGCUAUCGAGGGAGGAUAAAUGCACUUGCGUUGUGGACGCUCUGCUUCUCUGCUAUUCCCAUUGUUUUCCCGGUGGAGAUGGCACCAGUCUCUAGCCAUUACUGGGCCUAUUGUCUCCCCAUAGGUUUCCUAGAGUCACUAGCUCUGGAUAGCCCAUUUAGCAGUAUCACCAAUGCCACUUGGCUUCUGUAUGAUGAGAGCAGGGAGUCAGCUACGAUAAAGGAAGCCUGUUUUGAGAGACUUCUCCUAAUAUUAACAAGUACAAAGGAAUAAUGGAUUUGAGAAGCAGAAACAUGACCCAUUGGAAUUUGACCUUGAAUGCAAUUUAGGGUUAGUUGGAACUAGUGUUAUUUAAAAAUAAACUAUUCUUUCUCCAAGGUAGUAUGAGAAAAGUUAGGUUGGAGUUUGGAAAUAAAGCAAGGCAUUUUUUUAAUUAAAAAAAGCUUUAUUGAGAUAUAAGUCAUAUAUCAUACAAUUUGCCCUUUUAAAUCAACAUUCAAUGGUUUUUAGUGUGUUCAGAGUUGUACAAUCAUUACCAUAAGCAAUUUUAGACCAUUUUCAUCACCCAAAACAGUAAUUCCAUAACCAUUAGUAUUAUUCCCCAUUUCUCUUCUCCUACCCUACCUAUCCCACUACUGGGUAUAUAUCCAAAGAAAAGGA